UACAGAGGGUGCGAGCGUUGUCCGGAAUCACUGGGCGUAAAGGGCGCGUAGGUGGCGACCCAAGUCGAUGGUGAAAGCUCGCCGCUCAACGGCGAGUCGGCCACCGAUACUGGGUUGCUCGAGCACUGUAGAGGCUAAUGGAAUUCCGGGGUGUAGCGGUGGAAUGCGUAGAGAUCCGGAAGAACACCGGUGGCGAAGGCGGUUAGCUGGGCAGUUGCUGACACUGAGGCGCGACAGCGUGGGGAGCAAACAGGG
rnacentral:rRNA from 1 species